ACUGAAUGGUGUGAUAUUGAGCUGGCAAUAAUAAACAAAAAACACAUGAAACAACAGUGAGUUUUUCAAGAAGAUCUUCAAGGAUUUAAACUUGAUAGCACUCUUGCUAAUGAUAUGAUCUUAGCUCUUGGGUGCUGUAUUUUUGCUGGAGACUAAUUGUUACAUAGCCUGCCCUAAAUCGAUCCUCAACGGAGCACUGACUGCACUGAACUGUGAUGGGACCAGCUCUGCAACUGAGCAUUGAAGCAAUCAGGCUACCAUCACUACUUCUGCUGGCCUUAGCCUUUCGUUUUGUACUGACUAUCUUUACAACGCUGAAUGUACAAUGGAACUAUGAUGAUUUGCCCAUCCACCCUCCGGUACACGUGCACAUCGAGCUGGUUGACAUUGCCAUUGUUGGUAUUGGUUGCUUGUUGUUUGCUGUAAAUGGUGUAGCAACUAUUGACACUCUGCUCUGCUUGUGGGAUUACCUAGCAAAGAGGGACAAACGUCAAAAGAUUCGAGAUUGGGUAAUCUGGCGAAAUGGGUUCAUCUUUGCAGUUAUAGUUGGGUGUGCUCUUUCUGCUUUGAGGAUGUUUGUUUUCGUGAGAUCAAAGUGGACCAGUAACCUGUGCAUGGUCGUUCAAGUUCUCCACCUGUUCUCCACUCUGUCAGUGGUUUCCCAAGCUGUUUUGAAUGGAAUCUUGAUUUGCCUGACGCCAGUCCUAAAGGCUGAUCAGAUGUUAACCCAUCCCAGCUACAACAAAGCAGUUACAGCUCACAAAGAUUCAAAUAGAAUCAUCGUGGUUUAUGCUGCUCUUAAUGCAGCAACCUUUCUAUUAGCUGUCCCUGAGUCACAGAACUAUUUCAUUAUACCCAUUCCAUAUUGCAUGCUGCUGGAGUUGUCUUGUCGAUUUGUAUUGCUCCACCUAAUGGAAAUACCUGAAAAAAUUCUUCACCAAAUCUCAGGAUGCUUUAAUAUUCUCAUGGUUGUAAUAAAUCCACCUUUCAUUACUGUCAAUACUCUACGUGGUGGAGAGUCAGAGGAGCCAUUUCCUGAUAUUGAACUGGAAGACUGAUAUAGAUCUACCCUAUAUAUUAUGUUGUUGUUUUUCGUUUCGUGUAUAAUA